GAUGAACGCUGGCGGCGUGCCUAAUACAUGCAAGUCGAGCGAACGGACGAGAAGCUUGCUUCUCUGAUGUUAGCGGCGGACGGGUGAGUAACACGUGGAUAACCUACCUAUAAGACUGGGAUAACUUCGGGAAACCGGAGCUAGUACCGGAUGAUAUUUUGAACCGCAUGGUUCAAAAGUGAAAGACGGUCUUGCUGUCACUUAUAGAUGGAUCCGCGCUGCAUUAGCUAGUUGGUAAGGUAACGGCUUACCAAGGCAACGAUGCAUAGCCGACCUGAGAGGGUGAUCGGCCACACUGGAACUGAGACACGGUCCCGACUCCUACGGGAGGCCGCAGUAGGGAAUCUUCCGCAAUGGGCGAAAGCCUGACGGAGCAACGCCGCGUGAGUGAUGAAGGUCUUCGGAUCGUAAAACUCUGUUAUUAGGGAAGAACAUAUGUGUAAGUAACUGUGCACAUCUUGACGGUACCUAAUCAGAAAGCCACGGCUAACUACGUG
rnacentral:rRNA from 1 species